rnacentral:rRNA from 1 species
GGGGGGGGGGGGGGGGGGGGGGGGGGGGGGGGGGGGGGGGGGGGGGGCGGGGGGGGGGGGGGGGGGGCGGGGGGCGAGCGGGUGAGGAGCACGGGAGGAGCCGGCCCUGGCCGCUGGGGUAGCGUCAGGGGACGGGGGCGAAUACCGGAUGGGAGCUCCGGCGGCUUGGUGGGGGCUGGAGAGGUUCGGCGGUUGUGGCUGGACUCGCGGCGCUUCAGCGUGUUGCUGGGGUAGUGGCUUACCAAGGCUUUGACGGGUAGCCGGCCUGAGAGGGUGACCGGGCACGUUGGGACUGAGAUACGGCCCAGACUCCUACGGGAGGGAGCAGUGGGGAAUAUUGCACAAUGGGCGGAAGCCUGAUGCAGCAACGCCGCGUGCGGGAUGAAGGCCUUCGGGUUGUAAACCGCUUUCGCCUGUGACGAGGCGUGGGUGACGGUAGUGGGUAAAGAAGCGCCGGCUAACUACGUG